AGAUAGCCCAGAUGGUACAGAGAAAGGAUCGACAAAUAUCCAUACUACUGUUCAAAACGAUCCAGUUUACCUUUCCAAGUCAGAAAGUCAUCAUGUGGAACGUGAGCAAGCAGGAUUUGAAGGAUUCUCUGGGCAUCUUCUUCGGAGAAGGUAUCUUUAAUCAAUUAUGUUUUCCAUGAUCUAGUUGUACUAUCAAUCAGGUCUACUACCUUCGAUAAAUUCUGGUUUCUCACUGUUUUAUCUUAAAUCCAUUAUUUA